rnacentral:lncRNA from 1 species
CAUUUCCCAAGGAAAGAAGCCUUUUUUUCCCCUCAGUACUGUAAAAGGGCGGAAACAGACAGAGGUGAAAACUCACUAUGCUGCCCAGACUCGUCUCGAACUCCUGGGUGUCACGCGUGUCCAUAUAGAAGACCACCUAAACAGGCUUUGUGUUCAUGUGUUGAAAUCCUAACUCCAAAUAUGAUGAUAGGAGGAGAUGAGGCCUUCAGGAGGUGAUGAGGUCAUGAGGGUGGAAUCCUCAUGAAUGGUCUCAACGCCCUUAGAAAAGAGACCCCAGAGACCUCGCUCCUGCUUUCUACCGUGGGAGAAUGCAGCAAGAAGUCAGCCAUCUAUGAACAAGGAAGCAGGUCCUCUCCAGGCACUGAAUGUACCAGUGCCUUGAUCUUGGACUUCCCAGACUCCAGAACUAUGACAAUAAAUUCUGUUGUUUAAGCCA